rnacentral:lncRNA from 1 species
CUCAUGCAAUUCUCAAUAAUAAGCCCUGGCCUCUAAAACAUUAAUAGCCUUGUGUUUACACAAUAGACCAUAAUAUUUUAGUUAAGUAGGACCCUUCAUUUUAAUACAGUCAAAAUAGAAUAUAAAUACUUUUGUGGUUACACAACAAAGCAUUAUACUCAAAAAUUGCUGUAAGCAUCUCGAUGCGCCAGAAUAAUAUUAUGUCAGUUUCCAUAAUUGGUCUUUUGGUUACACAACAAACCUAAUAUGGUUCGUGACAUAGUAAUGUCCUAGCAUGAAGGAAGGCCAUAAUAUAGUGAAUAUAACACCGAGCAUCCCAGUCAAGAAUUAAAUUAAUCUAAUCAGCCAGGUAAGUGGAAGAGAGGUGGGGGUCCCCCUGUUGCUUUCCUUAAACACCAAUAAAUUUUGGCCAGGUC